rnacentral:tRNA from 1 species
GGGGACGUGGCGUAACCUGGCAGCGCAAUAGGCUCCAGACCUUUUGGUCCGAGUUCAAAUCUCGGCGUCCCCA